rnacentral:rRNA from 1 species
GACGAACGCUGGCGGCGUGCUUAACACAUGCAAGUCGAACGAAGAGCGAUUGAAGCUUGCUUCUAUCAAUCUUAGUGGCGAACGGGUGAGUAACGCGUAAUCAACCUUCCCUUCUGAGGUGGACAACAGUUGGAAACGACUGCUAAUACCGCAUACGAUCUAAUCUCGGCAUCGAGGAUAGAUGAAAGGUGGCCUCUACAUGUAAGCUAUCACUUCAGGAGGGGAUUGCGUCUGAUUAGCUCGUUGGAGGGGUAACGGCCCACCACGGCGAGGAUCAGUAGCCGGUGUGAGAGGAUGAACGGCCACAUUGGGACUGAGACACGGCCCAGACUCCUACGGGAGGCAGCAGUGGGGAAUCUUACGCAAUGGACGAAAGUCUGACGGAGCAACGCCGCGUGAGUGAUGACGGCCUUCGGGUUGUAAAGCUCUGUUAAUCGGGACGAAAGGCCUUCUUGCGAAUAGUGAGAAGGAUUGACGGUACCGGAAGAGAAAGCCACGGCUAACUACGU